UUAGACCUUAUCUGAAUGAAACAGAGAGGGAAAAGGGCAAAAUCAGCUCUGGUGGAGCCAAAAUCUAAGCUGCUUUUUAUCAUACGCAUACAAGGGCAAAAUGACAUGCACCCAAAAACUAGGAAGAUCCUGUACAAACUAAGAUUGAC